rnacentral:rRNA from 1 species
AAAAUCAGUGGUUGGAAGGAAGAACUUCUUUCGGCUGGAGGAGAGGAGAUUCUCCUCAAAGCGGUCAUUCAAGGCAUACCCAUCUAUGCAAUGUCGGUCUAUGAAAUUCCUAAAAAACUAUGCAAAGGAAUUACUGAUGCGAUGGCGCAUUUCUGGUGGGGAGACAAAGACAACCAUAGGAGAAUGCAUUGGAUGGCUUGGUGGAAAAUGUGUGUACCCAAGAAUCAAGGAAGAAUGGCUUUUUGUGAUAUCCACUGUUUCAGUUUGGCUAUGCUCACUAAAAAGGCUUGGCGUCUUAUCGAGAAUCCUGAUUCACUAUGUGCUACUAUUCUAAAAGUCAAAUACUACCCUGAUGGUGAUUUGUUGAACACUAAUCUAAAUAAGGGUUCUUCCUUCACCUGA